UGGGGAAUAUUGCACAAUGGGGAAAGACCCUGAUGCAGCGACGCCGCGUGAGUGAAGAAGUAUUUCGGUAUGUAAAGCUCUAUCAGCAGGGAAGAAAUGACGUACCUGACUAAGAAGCCCCGGCUAACUACGUGCCAGCAGCCGCGGUAAUACGUAGGGGGCAAGCGUUAUCCGGAUUUACUGGGUGUAAAGGGAGCGCAGGCGGCGCGGCAAGUCUGAUGUGAAAGCCCGGGGCUCAACCCCGGACGCAUUGGAAACUGUCGCGCUCGAGUGUCGGAGGGGUAAGUGGAAUUCCUAGUGUAGCGGUGAAAUGCGUAGAUAUUAGGAGGAACACCAGUGGCGAAGGCGGCUUACUGGACGGUAACUGACGUUGAGGCUCGAAAAGCGUGGGGAGCAAACAGGAUUAGAUACCC
rnacentral:rRNA from 1 species